UUUUGGUUGCCAGACUAUGAGUCUUUGAGUGCAAAUUCAUGCAAAGACUGGUCCAUGUGGAGCCUUGCAUUUUAUUCAGGUUACAAAUAUAUAGCUCUUCUCCAUCAGUUAGUACUAUGACAAAGAGAUCCCUGGGGAAUGAGCUGGUCAGAGAAGCUCUGCCUCCAGCAGGAACUGGAAAACUAUUGGAAGCAGAGAUGUAAGUGACAGCUGGCUGGGCAGCGAGGAAGAGGAAGCCUUGUGAGUCCAGAUGAGAAAGGGGAAAGGCAUGGAGAAGACGAAUAUUUAUGUGCACUGUCCUAGGCUCAUAUACAUACCUUCGUGUCACUUAAUCCACACAAUAUCCCUGCUAACUAAUUAUUAUGAGCUCCAUUUUACAGAUAAGAAGACUGAGUCACAGAGAGAUCCCCCAAGGUCAUACUGCUAGUAAAUAGCAGAACCAGGAAUUGCAUGAUGCCAAAGACCCCAGUGCUAUCCUGACUCAAGGAAGAACAUGUCAUGGGAAGAUGGUAGGGAGAGGUGAGAUAGGGAUGAGCCCAAGGGAAGGCCUUGGAUGCCAGAAGCAAGAGCCCAGACUUCACCAACAUAGAUUCUAAGAAAACUGCUAGCAGAGAAGGGAGCUGGUGGGCAUGGAAUGUUAAGAAGGCCAGGGGUCAUAAUCUCACCCAGCCACCACAGCAGCUGUCACCAAGACACCCACCUCUCAGAGAGCCUUGCUUGCAGACCCCUUCAUCUGAUGGAUUCUCCUGAGAGCAUAGGCAUCCUGGGACCGCGGAGCAGCCACCAACGACUACAGAUGAAACACAAGCCUCGCCGGUCACUUUUUGCUGGCCGUUGGAAGGAAGCUGAUGAGUGGGAGUGGAACCUCCAGGUUUCCUGGGGCACCAUUCUGGAUCCCCUCAUCUCAGCUCUGUGAGGUCAUGGCUAAGCCUGAAACAGGUCCCAACUCAUUCAAUCUUGCCAUAAAUCUAUGAAAUGGG